CAGCGGGUGGGGGAGCGAAAUCAGGAGAUGGCCAGCAAGUCAAGGUCGUCACGACGGCCGGCGGUGCAACACACGACUGUGGCGGACCUGGUUCUGGAGACCCCAUCCGCGCGCGUCCAGGCAGGUUUCGGCCGUGGUCGCCCUCAUACGUCAGUCGGCGGCAUCGGAGCCGUGUCGGAGCCAAUUGCUGGGCAUGUCACCGAGACUGACCAAGACGCCGCGGCUGCAAGUGCUGGGCAUGUCGCCAAGAAGACCAACAAGCAGUACUAGCUCUGAGUUCCCAAAAUGCCUGACUCCAACGGCAACGGCAUGCACCACACAGAGGAUAAUGGCCUAUUCACCGAAUCCGGCCCCGUCCUCCCGACUCCUGGUACAAUGGGAGCAAGCUCAUCCUCCUCAAUCCCUAGCUACUGCAUAAUUGCCGGGGUGCAUACUCCCUAAAGUUCCUCGAGCAUCUGGACCUCUUAUUGUAGUAGCUGGUGAAGUGCGAAUCCAAGGCCGAAGCUGUGAAGCAUAUCAACAAAGAGUAGUAUAUUAUGUGUUGUAAUUGUAGGCAUAUCUAGGUUGUAAUAUACUGUAACAAUUGUAAUAGACUAAUUUAGUGUUGUUUUGGAUGAAUUUCAUUUGCUCUGUGGUAUGUUCAAAAUAAUGAUUGUGUAUGUGAUUUAAAUACUCGUGAAAUGGAA